rnacentral:rRNA from 1 species
AGCAGUAGCCACGGUAAUACGUAGGUGGCAAGCGUUGUCCGGAAUUAUUGGGCGUAAAGCGCGCGCAGGCGGAUCAGUCAGUCUGUCUUAAAAGUUCGGGGCUUAACCCCGUGAUGGGAUGGAAACUGCUGAUCUAGAGUAUCGGAGAGGAAAGUGGAAUUCCUAGUGUAGCGGUGAAAUGCGUAGAGAUUAGGAAGAACACCGGUGGCGAAGGCGACUUUCUGGACGAAAACUGACGCUGAGGCGCGAAAGCGUGGGGAGCGAACAGGAUUAGAUACCCGAGUAGUCCCUGUCUCUUAUACA